rnacentral:rRNA from 1 species
AGGAUGGGGAUGCGUUGGAUUAGCUUGCUGGUGGGGUAACGGCCCACCUAGCCGACGAUCCUUAGGGGUUCUGAGAGGAAGGUCCCCCACACUGGCACUGAGACACGGGCCAGACUCCUACGGGAGGCAGCAGUGAGGAAUAUUGGUCAAUGGGCGGAAGCCUGAACCAGCCAAGUAGCGUGCAGGAUGACGGCCCUACGGGUUGUAAACUGCUUUUGCGGGAGGAUAAAACGCCCCACGUGUGGGGCCUUGCAGGUAUCCCGCGAAUAAGGACCGGCUAAUUCCGUGCCAGCAGCCGCGGUAAUACGGAAGGUCCGGGCGUUAUCCGGAUUUAUUGGGUUUAAAGGGAGCGCAGGCGGAGAUGCAAGUGUGCCGUGAAAUCGCGGGGCUCAACCCCGUCCAGCGGCGCGAACUGCAUCCCUUGGUUGCGGGAGAGGAAGGCGGAACUCGUGGUGUAGCGGUGAAAUGCAUAGAUAUCACGAAGAACUCCGAUCGCGUAGGCAGCCUUCCAGCCCGCCAACGACGCUCAUGCUCGAAGGCGCGGGUAUCAAACAGGAUUAGAUACCCUGGUAGUCCGCGCAGUAAACGACGAGUGCUCGGGGUUUGCCCUUUUGGCUGAGCCCCCCAGCGAAAGCGUUAAGCACUCCACCUGGGGAGUACGCCGGCAACGGUGAAACUCAAAGGAAUUGAGGGGGGCCUGCACAAGGGGAGGAACAUGUCGCCCCAUUCGAUGAUACGCGAGGAACCUUACCCGGGCUUGAAAUGGGGGUGACGGGAGGCAGAGACGCCUCCUUUCUCCGGACACCCCCGUAGGUCCUGCAUGGUCGUCGUCAGCUCGUGCCGUGAGGUGUCGGCUUAAGUGCCAUAACGAGCGCAACCCCUUCCGCCGGUUACCAUCGGGUCAUGCCGGGGACUCCGGCGGCACUGCCGCCGCAAGGCGCGAGGAAGGCGGGGACGACGUCAAAUCAGCACGGCCCUUACGUCCGGGGCCACACACGUGUUACAAUGGGGGGCACAGCGAGCUGGAGCAUGGCGACAUGCUUCGAAUCAUGAAAUCCCCUCCCAGUUCGGACUGGAGUCUGCAACCCGACUCCACGAAGCCGGAUUCGCUAGUAAUCGCGCAUCAGCCAUGGCGCGGUGAAUACGUUCCCGGGCCUUGCACACACCGCCCGUCAAG